AGGUAUGACGGUAUUUACCAGAAAGCCACGGCUAACUACGUGCCAGCAGCCGCGGUAAUACGUAGGUGGCAAGCGUUGUCCGGAUUUAUUGGGCGUAAAGCGAGCGCAGGCGGUUUUUUAAGUCUGAUGUGAAAGCCUUCGGCUCAACCGAAGAAGUGCAUCGGAAACUGGGAAACUUGAGUGCAGAAGAGGACAGUGGAACUCCAUGUGUAGCGGUGAAAUGCGUAGAUAUAUGGAAGAACACCAGUGGCGAAGGCGGCUGUCUGGUCUGUAACUGACGCUGAGGCUCGAAAGUAUGGGUAGCAAACAGGAUUAGAUACCCUGGUAGUCCAUACCGUAAACGAUGAAUGCUAAGUGUUGGAGGGUUUCCGCCCUUCAGUGCUGCAGCUAACGCAUUAAGCAUUCCGCCUGGGGAGUACGGCCGCAAGGCUGAAACUCAAAGGAAUUGACGGGGGCCCGCACAAGCGGUGGAGCAUGUGGUUUAAUUCGAAGCUACGCGAAGAACCUUACCAGGUCUUGACAUACUAUGCAAAUCUAAGAGAUUAGACGUUCCCUUCGGGGACAUGGAUACAGGUGGUGCAUGGUUGUCGUCAGCUCGUGUCGUGAGAUGUUGGGUUAAGUCCCGCAACGAGCGCAACCCUUAUUAUCAGUUGCCAGCAUUAAGUUGGGCACUCUGGUGAGACUGCCGGUGACAAACCGGAGGAAGGUGGGGAUGACGUCAAAUCAUCAUGCCCCUUAUGACCUGGGCUACACACGUGCUACAAUGGAUGGUACAACGAGUUGCGAACUCGCGAGAGUAAGCUAAUCUCUUAAAGCCAUUCUCAGUUCGGAUUGUAGGCUGCAACUCGCCUACAUGAAGUCGGAAUCGCUAGUAAUCGCGGAUCAGCAUGCCGCGGUGAAUACGUUCCCGGGCCUUGUACACACCGCCCGUCACACCAUGAGAGUUUGUAACACCCAAAGUCGGUGGGGUAACCUUAGAACAGCCGCCAAGUAA
rnacentral:rRNA from 2 species